rnacentral:misc_RNA from 1 species
AUUUUGGUUCGGUUCGGUUCGGUUAAUAAUUUUAGAGUCGGUUGAUAAUUCGGUUAGUUGAAAGUUUGGUUCGGUUCGGUUAACGGAAUGCUCACCACUAUAUGAUGGCUAAACAAUAUCUCUACUUUCUUAUGGAAGAUGGUUGCAAAAGAUUUAUGGAAAACUGGAAUUGUUUAAUGUUCAUGCCUGCUGAUGAGAAUUUUAUGCAUUGUCAUAGUCUGCUUUUAAAUAAUUUCAACUUAAUUUUCUAAUUAAUGCUUUGAAAGCAUUUGGCGUAUUUAAGAACAGUUCUCCUAUAACUAUCAGCUAUUUGCUUUACUUGAGCUUUCUGCUUGUACGUGAAUUAUUUUCAGUCAAUUUUAUCUUAUUAUAUUAAAUUGCGUUAUUUAUUUCAUAAAGGAAGAAAUGAUGAGAGGGA